rnacentral:rRNA from 1 species
AUGAACGCUAGCUACAGGCUUAACACAUGCAAGUCGAGGGGCAGCAUGGUCUUAGCUUGCUAAGGCCGAUGGCGACCGGCGCACGGGUGAGUAACACGUAUCCAACCUGCCGUCUACUCUUGGACAGCCUUCUGAAAGGAAGAUUAAUACAAGAUGGCAUCAUGAGUCCGCAUGUUCACAUGAUUAAAGGUAUUCCGGUAGACGAUGGGGAUGCGUUCCAUUAGAUAGUAGGCGGGGUAACGGCCCACCUAGUCUUCGAUGGAUAGGGGUUCUGAGAGGAAGGUCCCCCACAUUGGAACUGAGACACGGUCCAAACUCCUACGGGAGGCAGCAGGGAGGAAUAUUGGUCAAUGGGCGAGAGCCUGAACCAGCCAAGUAGCGUGAAGGAUGACUGCCCUAUGGGUUGUAAACUUCUUUUAUAAAGGAAUAAAGUCGGGUAUGGAUACCCGUUUGCAUGUACUUUAUGAAUAAGGAUCGGCUAACUCCGUGCCAGCAGCCGCGGUAAUACGGAGGAUCCGAGCGUUAUCCGGAUUUAUUGGGUUUAAAGGGAGCGUAGAUGGAUGUUUAAGUCAGUUGUGAAAGUUUGCGGCUCAACCGUAAAAUUGCAGUUGAUACUGGAUAUCUUGAGUGCAGUUGAGGCAGGCGGAAUUCGUGGUGUAGCGGUGAAAUGCUUAGAUAUCACGAAGAACUCCGAUUGCGAAGGCAGCCUGCUAAGCUGCAACUGACAUUGAGGCUCGAAAGUGUGGGUAUCAAACAGGAUUAGAUACCCUGGUAGUCCACACGGUAAACGAUGAAUACUCGCUGUUUGCGAUAUACUGCAAGCGGCCAAGCGAAAGCGUUAAGUAUUCCACCUGGGGAGUACGCCGGCAACGGUGAAACUCAAAGGAAUUGACGGGGGCCCGCACAAGCGGAGGAACAUGUGGUUUAAUUCGAUGAUACGCGAGGAACCUUACCCGGGCUUAAAUUGCAGAUGAAUUACGGUGAAAGCCGUAAGCCGCAAGGCAUCUGUGAAGGUGCUGCAUGGUUGUCGUCAGCUCGUGCCGUGAGGUGUCGGCUUAAGUGCCAUAACGAGCGCGACCCUUGUUGUCAGUUACUAACAGGUUCCGCUGAGGACUCUGACAAGACUGCCAUCGUAAGAUGUGAGGAAGGUGGGGAUGACGUCAAAUCAGCACGGCCCUUACGUCCGGGGCUACACACGUGUUACAAUGGGGGGUACAGAGGGCCGCUACCACGCGAGUGGAUGCCAAUCCCCAAAACCUCUCUCAGUUCGGACUGGAGUCUGCAACCCGACUCCACGAAGCUGGAUUCGCUAGUAAUCGCGCAUCAGCCACGGCGCGGUGAAUACGUUCCCGGGCCUUGUACACACCGCCCGUCAAGCCAUGGGAGCCGGGGGUACCUGAAGUGCGUAACCGCGAGGAGCGCCCUAGGGUAAAACUGGUGACUGGGGCU